AAUUUUAAUAGGUUGUUAUUGUGUUUCACUUUCACUGUUCUAGUUGUUGGGUAGUGUGUGUGCCACCGAGCUCCAUGUUUACUUCAGUUAUUUUUUAAUAUGUUGUGUCACCAGUGUUCAAGUUGUAUUGCAACUUUAUUCCCGAUCUACUAGUCUCAACAUAAUUGUGUUUAACAUGUGACUGGCGUCUUGACGUUUUGCGUCAGUGAUGCACAUUUCCAAUUUGUGCUCCAUAUAUCUGUUAUUGUGUUAGUUAUUUAAUGUAGCAAUUGUUCAAUAGCGUGUUCAUAAAUAAAAUUGGUCACUCCACUUUAAUUGUUUAACAUGUUGCGUUUGACGAUUAACUAACAAUGUCAACGUAAUGCGUUUAGAUCUGCGUGUAUAAGUAAUUUACUGUCCAAAAUUAAUUCGUUUUUGGUGUUCUAGUUGUUGUAGCUGGCAGUGACUGAUAACUUCUUGACACUACGUUUUGAUGCCAUUUGCGUAAAUACUUUUGUGCCCCAAAGCAAAUCACUUCUGUUUAUUUAGUUGAUAUAUUUAACAAUUGAUAACUUCAUGAUAUUAUAACUCUUUAUAAUAAACAUAUGCGUUAAUAUUUUUCUGAUCAAACGUCACUCACUUUUGCUUUUCUAUUUGAUUCAUUUAACAAUUGAUAACUUCAUAUUAUUAUACUCCAUAAAAAUAAAUGUGCGUGAAUAUUUUUCUGACCAAACGCAAUUUAAUUUUGCUUUUCUAGUUGGUGCAUUUUUAACAAUUGAUAGCUUCAUGAUAUUAUACCCCUUAAAAAUAAAAAAAAUGUGCGUAGUUAUUUUUGGCCUAACGCAAUGCACUUUUGCUUUUAUAGUUGGUGCAUUUAACAAUGAAUAACUUCAUGAUAUUUUAACCUUUAAUAAUUAAAAUGUUCGUAAAUAUAUAAAUAUCACGAUUCACUGUUGUGUUUUGAUAUAUACGUCUUAACGGUUUAUGCGUAGCUCUUUCUUGCGUAGCACAAUUCAGUGUUACAUUACACGUCUUAAUAAUAACAUGUCCUGGAAUAUUCUGCUGGUCAAACACAAUUCGCUUUUUUAAUUGAAGAAAGUUGUUACACUUUACAAGUAAUUGUCAAUUUCUUUAAAUUAUACGUCUUAAUGGCAUAUGUGUACGGUAGAUAUUUUUCAGAUCUGGUGCAGUAGAGUAAUAAGGUACCUGAUGGAACGUCAGAGUCUGGCCAAGGACAUGUCAAUGUUGUGUGAGCAUGUUGUUCUGAUACUCUGAAGGAUCACAAUAAUGAUAAAGACAUUACAAGUUUGAAGAUGGCUACCAUGAUCUGCAUGACGGCGCUUCAGACGUAGCGUCACACCAAUUUGAGAGUGCAAGAGGUUCCCACGUUAUACCCGAGUGAUGUUAGAGAUUAAAUAUAAAAUACAAAAAUAUGUUUUUUAAUUACCUAUCGAACUUUCAGAGUUGUAAAUUUCUUGAAUAAAGGGUGUUUUAAUGUUUAAA